AGCCCGCUCGCCGGAAGACCAAGGGUUCCUGUCCAACGUUAAUCGGGGCAGGGUGAGUCGACCCCUAAGGCGAGGCCGAAAGGCGUAGUCGAUGGGAAACAGGUUAAUAUUCCUGUACUUGGUGUUACUGCGAAGGGGGGACGGAGAAGGCUAUGUUGGCCGGGCGACGGUUGUCCCGGUUUAAGCGUGUAGGCUGGUUUUCCAGGCAAAUCCGGAAAACCAAGGCUGAGGCGUGAUGACGAGGCACUACGGUGCUGAAGCGACAAAUGCCCUGCUUCCAGGAAAAGCCUCUAAGCAUCAGGUAACAUCAAAUCGUACCCAAAACCGACACAGGUGGUCAGGUAGAGAAUACCAAGGCGCUUGAGAGAACUCGGGUGAAGGAACUAGGCAAAAUGGUGCCGUAACUUCGGGAGAAGGCACGCUGAUAUGUAGGUGAAGCGACUUGCUCGUGGAGCUGAAAUCAGUCGAAGAUACCAGCUGGCUGCAACUGUUUAUUAAAAACACAGCACUGUGCAAACACGAAAGUGGACGUAUACGGUGUGACGCCUGCCCGGUGCCGGAAGGUUAAUUGAUGGGGUUAGCGGUAACGCGAAGCUCUUGAUCGAAGCCCCGGUAAACGGCGGCCGUAACUAUAACGGUCCUAAGGUAGCGAAAUUCCUUGUCGGGUAAGUUCCGACCUGCACGAAUGGCGUAAUGAUGGCCAGGCUGUCUCCACCCGAGACUCAGUGAAAUUGAACUCGCUGUGAAGAUGCAGUGUACCCGCGGCAAGACGGAAAGACCCCGUGAACCUUUACUAUAGCUUGACACUGAACAUUGAGCCUUGAUGUGUAGGAUAGGUGGGAGGCUUUGAAGUGUGGACGCCAGUCUGCAUGGAGCCGACCUUGAAAUACCACCCUUUAAUGUUUGAUGUUCUAACGUUGGCCCGUAAUCCGGGUUGCGGACAGUGUCUGGUGGGUAGUUUGACUGGGGCGGUCUCCUCCUAAAGAGUAACGGAGGAGCACGAAGGUUGGCUAAUCCUGGUCGGACAUCAGGAGGUUAGUGCAAUGGCAUAAGCCAGCUUGACUGCGAGCGUGACGGCGCGAGCAGGUGCGAAAGCAGGUCAUAGUGAUCCGGUGGUUCUGAAUGGAAGGGCCAUCGCUCAACGGAUAAAAGGUACUCCGGGGAUAACAGGCUGAUACCGCCCAAGAGUUCAUAUCGACGGCGGUGUUUGGCACCUCGAUGUCGGCUCAUCACAUCCUGGGGCUGAAGUAGGUCCCAAGGGUAUGGCUGUUCGCCAUUUAAAGUGGUACGCGAGCUGGGUUUAGAACGUCGUGAGACAGUUCGGUCCCUAUCUGCCGUGGGCGCUGGAGAACUGAGGGGGGCUGCUCCUAGUACGAGAGGACCGGAGUGGACGCAUCACUGGUGUUCGGGUUGUCAUGCCAAUGGCACUGCCCGGUAGCUAAAUGCGGAAGAGAUAAGUGCUGAAAGCAUCUAAGCACGAAACUUGCCCCGAGAUGAGUUCUCCCUGACUCCUUGAGGGUCCUGAAGGAACGUUGAAGACGACGACGUUGAUAGGCCGGGUGUGUAAGCGCAGCGAUGCGUUGAGCUAACCGGUACUAAUGAACCGUGAGGCUUAACCUU
rnacentral:rRNA from 1 species